rnacentral:rRNA from 1 species
UACGGAGGGUGCAAGCGUUAUCCGGAUUCACUGGGUUUAAAGGGUGCGUAGGUGGGCAGGUAAGUCAGUGGUGAAAUCUCCGAGCUUAACUCGGAAACUGCCGUUGAUACUAUUUGUCUUGAAUAUUGUGGAGGUAAGCGGAAUAUGUCAUGUAGCGGUGAAAUGCUUAGAUAUGACAUAGAACACCAAUUGCGAAGGCAGCUUACCACACAACGAUUGACGCUGAGGCACGAAAAGCGUGGGGGAUCAAAACAGG